rnacentral:rRNA from 1 species
AGUGAACGCUGGCGGUAGGCCUAACACAUGCAAGUCGAACGGCAGCACAGGAGAGCUUGCUCUCUGGUGGCGAGUGGCGGACGGGUGAGGAAUACAUCGGAAUCUACUCUGUCGUGGGGGAUAACAUAGGGAAACUUACGCUAAUACCGCAUACGACCUACGGGUGAAAGUGGGGGACCGCAAGGCCUCACGCGAUUGAAUGAGCCGAUGUCGGAUUAGCUAGUUGGCGGGGUAAAGGCCCACCAAGGCGACGAUCCGUAGCUGGUCUGAGAGGAUGAUCAGCCACACUGGAACUGAGACACGGUCCAGACUCCUACGGGAGGCAGCAGUGGGGAAUAUUGGACAAUGGCGGCAAGCCUGAUCCAGCCAUACCGCGUGAGUGAAGAAGGCCCUCGGGUUGUAAAGCUCUUUUGUUUGGGAAAGGAAAAUACCCUGUUGG